AUGCAGCCAGUGAGUCUUCAGGCGCAGAGGAUCCAAGGACUUUAUCUUCUAGAUAACAACGACAGUUCUGGUAUUCCACAUAGCGCUGACAGCUCUGCUAGCAAUUCUCCUCAUCAUUACGAGAGAUUUUCACCUUCAAAACAUUUGAUGGAUCUCAGUAGCCCUCCGGAACACAAAGAUGACGAGGAGCUUGGAUAUCAAGCCCAUCAUCACCUUCAUCAUCACCACCACCAAGUGGUCUAUCAAGAACCUACUUACUUGAUGUAUGAAAACUCUGACGAGAAAAGGUACCAGGAGCAGCAUUCUAAUGGCAAGAUCUUGAGAGAGCUUCAGACCGAUUAUGACAGGCGUCCCCAUGAUAAUUCCCCAGGAUUCUUAUCAGACCAUAGCAGAGAUCAUGAACAAAGUCUUUAUUUGACACCAUCACCACAGAUGUACUCCUCCGGAGGUGAAGAGAUGGCACCUAGACAAGCACAACAGGGCUACCAUCACAUGGAGGCGAUUGAAUAUAAGCCUGAUAUAGAGCAGAGGUGCAAGCAAGCAGAGAAGAAAACUUAUGGAAGAAAAAGAAAGUCUUGCAGUAGUGAAAACAGUGCUGUCUUGACGAAGAAUAUUAGAAGAAAGAGUGGAACUUCUGAAGAAAUACACAUUCAGAGAGUGAUGGCAAAUGUGAGGGAGAGACAGAGGACUCAGAGUUUGAACGAGGCGUUUGCUGCGCUCAGAAAAAUCAUACCCACGUUGCCCAGUGACAAGUUAAGCAAGAUUCAAACGCUAAAACUGGCCACUAGAUAUAUCGACUUCCUGUUCCAGGUGUUGCACUGCAACACGGAAAACACCGAUGGCGGCGAGGAUGGUGGCGAAAGAAAUCCAAGAAGCGCUGUCCUAGCUGCCAGAGAAAUAACUUCGUCGUCGUGCAGUUACAUGGCCCACGAGAAACUCUCGUACGCUUUUAGCGUUUGGAGAAUGGAAGACGACUGGAAUUCUAAUCUCUAGAGAAGUCUGUGUCACGCUCAACAAGGUAAAAGUUACUUAAAACCCUUAAUCAACGCUUGGACACUGUGUAAAUACUUCCAUAAACCUCAGGACACAGAGCUUCGAGAAGGCUCGACGAUUAUUUAAUCCCCAUGCCGUACAAUUUCCACGAAGUUCAAAUAGCGUGUGGUAAACAACAACAACGUUCGAAAUUGUGUAAAUCGCACAGUCGCCUCUGAUAUGUAAAUGCAUGUGUAAGAUACAAUUAAUUUUCAUUUGCAAGAUGUUUGAUAAGUAGUUACUACCGAUUGAGCAUUGAACAGGAAAGAUUUAUUAUCUUGAAAUAAAUAAUAAAUCAAUAACAUCGAUGUACUACGUCUCUCAUACGUGUUAUUUAUGUUUGGCCUGAUCGACGUAACACGUCUCUCGCACGUGUUGUUUAUGUUUAGCCCAAUCAACAUACCACGUCUCUCGCACGAUAUUGUAGGUUAAGCAGUAUAACAUAUUAUCACAAAAAGGUGGAAAUCAGGCAAGUUCAUUAUAAAGUCAAGCGUGGAUUUCUUAUUUUCGCUGGUACGAAAAUAACGAAAUUACGACUGAUCGGAAGAAAAUAAUAUAAACUGACGGUUUGAAAUUGUUUGUACACUGUGAAUACUUGUAUCUAUAGGAAAUUUGAAUAUGCAAAAAUAUACAGGAUGCACAUACCGUGCAAGAAUAUAUAGAACAUCCAUAGCAAAAGAAGCAUUUGUCAUAUUUAGUUUCUACAUCUUUGGUUGUAUCUAUACAAAUUUGAAUUGUCGCGACCAUCCAAUCUAGUCUACCGAUUAGCAUCUUUCAGAUCAAAAAUUGAAUUUUCCACUUCUCAUAUUACUAUUAAAUGAUAUAUAUAUUCUGAAGCAAUCUAUAUGGAAAAACCAAAGAUUUGAUGGUGAAGAGAUGCUGUCACACUUGCUGACCGUUGUACAUAAAUAAUUAACAGCAAUUAUUCGUAGUGGAGGGCCAGUGACGUGCUUUAUUGACCGCUCUUUGAAAUAUAAUCGCGACAGUCGACUUUACGCCGCUAUAGAUCAACGGUUAGGUCUAUACGAUAUAAUGUAAGCCAAUAAUUUACGCCUCCACGUCGCUCUAUUAACAGUGGAGUGGCUUUGGCCGGCUAGCCAAUUCCUCCGCAAUUUCUGUACCGUGUGAAAGCGUAUGGAGCAUCUUAUUAACUGAUCUCUUCUCGCUUCCGUCAAUGUGAUGAGGUAUCGUCCAAAAUCAUCAUGUUGUGGAUACUUUUUUAAGAUGUUUGCCUGCAAACAUUAGGAAGAGGGCUCCUACGUACAAUGAAGUCAUUCAAUGGCCGAUUAUUGCCCAGAUUCCCGAAAUGAUUUUCUCUUGCUACUUUCAUUACCUCUCGAAACGCUGGCCAGUCCAUUAGGGUGAAUUUAUGGUUCUGGAGGCUUCUGCUUCUAAAUGAAAAGUCAGCUAGGUCGCGUAUUCUGCAAUUGCCAACUAGAGAAACAGAACAUUGUGAAUGUAACAUUUCUAUUCAAACAAAUAUUGCCGAUUUUUUUUAAUUUCUACUACAACUUUUAGUAAUUUGUACAAAUUCAUACCAAUGUAAAUUUCUACAAUACAAUAGUCCCAUCAACAAUAAGGAGAAAACUUGUUGCAUUUAUAAUGCAUUUUCCUAACUUUUUAAUUUUAACACAGAGUUUCUACCAAUUCGUAUAAAUAAUUUUUCAAUUGCAAAUUUCAUUAAAAUUAUACGUACAUCAGAAUAAUUUCAAAAUGAUACAGCAAGCACCAGCAGGGAUUCCCUGAACUCGUCCGAUUUUCCUUUCCCAGAUUCACGAUAGACAGUAGCGUCAUUGCUACAAUUUUACGAGUUUUUUUUACGAGCCUCGAUGAUCGUGGCAGGCUAACGUCUCGACGUUGUGGAAACAAGCUCUAACUGCUCCGACGGGUAGAUGAAACUUAAACAAAACAACCGGCAGAGAAGCAUUAACGAGCAUUUUGGCGCCGAUAGGUCGGUCAGAAUCUCAUACACAUUUCUUCUUCUUUUUCUUCAUCAUUCUCUUUUAUUCCAAAGAAGAGAACAAUUUUUGACCAGAUAUGUAUCAUACAGUUAGAAUGGAAGUUCUGUUAGAGCUUUGUUUCUGAGUUUCUACGUGAAACGUUUCGAAAGCAAACAGUUAUUUUAAACCAAGAAGGCAAGAAGGAAAAGUUAAGCCCGCGUUUGACUUGGUUAACGAAGACACGCUACGUUAAAUCCGCCAGCGUCUUUAUUGCCGCACUGAAUCUUCGUGAAAAAAAGCCUGCCUCCAAACGAGGUGCCAUCAGUGUCCCCCUUGAGAAGCUGUCAGAAUGCUAUUCUCCUUUCUCCGUUCCUUCUUUUUUCCUCGUUGAAAGACCAUACCAGUUUUGGAAGAUGUUUCAUGCAAAAAUACUUUUUUUUCUUUUAAGAUUUUUCUUAAAGAUUCUUACUUUCUUUAUUCCGUAUAAUUAUAUCUCUUCAAAUUUCUGUUAAGAAUUUGAAAUAUCGGUAUUAUUGGUUAUUAAAAAAUUUAAAUGAGAUGACAAGUAUAAUAUCACAAAAUUUCAAGAUCCAUAUUUGAUAGUGAAGAAUAUAGUAUAUCUUUCUCUUUGUAAGAAAGUCCAGAUGUAAGUGAUCCAGAAUCCAAGCAUAACAUUUUAUUUUAUUCGCAAUUAAUCAAGAAAUUAGCUUUUCUUCGCUAUUCAAAAAAAUCUUCUUUUUCUAGUCUUCAAAGAUUCUACUAAAAAGAUUUAGUACCUAUGUAUUCCUUUUCGUUAUUUAUCAGUAAUAAAAUUAGUCACCAAAGUCAUCCGAGCACAAUUUUUUCAUUUCUUCUGGGCUCGAUACUCAAUAUCUAAAAAAUGAUAGAUUAUUAAUUGGAAUUUUCGACAGCGGGUGCAACAACGUACUUUUCAAUUAAUUCGUUUGUUAGUUCAACUGAAGUCAACUUUUCAUAAAUAUUGAAUGUUAUAUCCUGUGUUCAUCCAGGCCUGCACAAUGUUAAUACCUUAGAUCUGAUUUUCUCAAUUUAAAACAAUAUGCAUCACGCAAAUAUGUACAAUUGCAAACCAUCGGUGAUUGUGUCAGACUUUUAUACUGUUAUUUAGUUUUCAAGUGGGCUAAAUGAUAGAACCAAAGAUGGAUUUCAUAUACGUAGUUAAAGUGGUAUUAGGCUACUCAAUAACUUCUAAUCUCAUAAGAGCUACGAGAAUUUUGAAAAUAAAAUUAUUUUACACAUAUAUGUAAAGUAAUCUCGAGUAAGUUUGUUUACAAAAUCUAUAAUUAUAUAGAGACUUUUGUUGUAUUGUAAAUUAUUAAAAACUAACAUUGAUCAUUUAGUAAUAGGGACUAAUUUAAAAGGCACUAAUUUACAAUGUAAAGCUCGAGAUUGCUAAUGUUUUCCACUUCUGUAUAAAAUUCUUCACAUAAAUUGUACCUUCUAUGAUAGUAAGCUCCUUAAUUAUAAGCUUUCAAGAACAUCUCGGGUGCCUUGAACAUACAGCUAAAUCUACCAAAAAUCCUGUACAUACUAGAUUAUGUAGACUUCCAAAUUGUACAUUCUCAACCAACGAGACAGUAAUAUUUAUAAAAUGCAUGUAUAUUUUCUUACAAGUUCACUCUUAACUUCACUAUCACAAGUGGCAGGAAGUCGCAAUAAUUUAUUCCUCAUCGAAUUAUCGCCAAAUAAUAUUGUAAAUACUGUAAAUAUUCGAAACUUAUUAAAUAUUAGAAUUUUUUUCUAACUUAGAUUGAAGAAAAAAUUCCUACGAAAAAUUUCUUCUCAUACAUAUAUAUAAUAUAUUUAUAUUAUCAGAAUAGAAAUUAUAAAUUGAAAUCCACGGUGGAGAUCCUCAGUUUAAGUCAGAUAAAAACUUUCUUCCAAGUUCAACAUUUUCUUUAAAAUUAUUCUAGAUUUGUUGACUUAUUCCGAUUGGCCUUUUAAAUUAUACAAAUAGCUACACUCCACUGGGAUAUUUAUAUAAUUCUCGAUAUAUUUUUAUUGAGAAUUAAUAUAACUUUACAAAAAAGUUUCCUAUGACAUGUGAACACUUGGAUUUCCAUUCCUUAAAACGAUGCCAAAGUGCAUUUUUUAAUACUAUCUAUCAGCGUGCACUUGCACGACUUUCUAAUGUACAGUAUUUUUAUAUCUAUUGCGAGAAUUGCAAUAAAAUUGACUAUUAAGUAUAUAAAUCUCUCUUGUACCUUGAUAAUCCUUUCCCCUAUUUUUCUCAAUUUACAAAUUUAAUAUAUCAAUGAAAAAUGAGAAGAAUAAUUUCUUUAAUUACAGAGUAUUUCUCAAAUACUUCAUUCCAUAUACUAGUAUAUAUCAAAUAUUUAAAAAUUAUAUUAAUUAUUAUACUACAAACUGUACACACAUACUACGAAAAAUAUUUAUGUUAAGACAUUGAUCAAGAAGAGCAUUGUGAUUCCAAACUUACAACUCUAAAUUUUGGGAUUCUACACUUUUGCAAUUCAAAUCACCGAUAAUCGGAAGAAUCUUAGAAAUUCGCGAGAUAAUUCCAAGUAUUUACAGAAAUACUCCAAGUAUUAAAAUUUGACAUAUGCUUUCACGCUCAGUACCCACAUCAGAGUUCCAACAACGCCGGAAGUUCUAUCGCGGAAACAGGCGACGCUCAAAGAGCGGGGAUGGUCGCGUAAUGCUCAGCUGACGUCACGAAAACUCGUAACGAGUUCAGGCGCGAAAUGUAUGGAUAUUCCCAGAUCGUAAAUUCAAAGAAGCAUCGUGGAAAGACGAGGAACGACAGGCGAAGCGGAGUAGGGACGGAAUAGCAUCGGAGGAGAGCCGAUAAAUAAUUUACCAAACGUCAGCCGAUGGCAGGCUUAAUGGAUUAGACGAGCCAGUGCAAAUAUUAUUGCAAGGAAACGGCAACUAGCGACGCCCAGUUUGUCCGAUUGGCUAAAAACGAUGUCAACCGCCAGUCUUUUGGCCAAUCAACAUACACCGGAUGUUCGUUUCGAUCUUUUCGACAUGUUAUUCCCUCCACUAUUCCUCUUCCAUAUUAGAAGGACACGCAGUCUUACUUCUUCUAACGGAAUGUUCAAUUCAAUUCCUUAUGUUUAUUUCAUUCUGAUCUAAAGUGUUGAAUCAAGAGGGGACUUUUAAUAAAUUUUGAACAAUCGUGUUGUAUGAAGAGAUUAAGAUUCGAGGACAGACGUCUACCUGAAUGUGGUACCUAGUUUAAUGCUUCCGUUGAGAAAAUAGAUCUCUUCCAGCCAUUUGCAUAAUAAUUUACUAACUGAUCUGAUACUCACUAGUCUUCACUAUUUCCCUUCCAUGUUAGAAGGGUAUCUUACUUCUUCUGGCGAAAUUUUCAAUUCAAUUUCUGACGUUUGUUUCAUUUUC